ACGCUCGACACCUACGGGGGCAGCAGUGGGGAAUAUUGCACAAUGGGGGAAACCCUGAUGCAGCGACGCCGCGUGAGCGAAGAAGUAUCUCGGUAUGUAAAGCUCUAUCAGCAGGGAAGAAGAUGACGGUACCUGACUAAGAAGCACCGGCUAAAUACGUGCCAGNNGCGNGUAUNGNGGCGGCGNGNAG
rnacentral:rRNA from 1 species